rnacentral:rRNA from 1 species
AUUGAACGCUGGCGGCAGGCCUAACACAUGCAAGUCGAACGAGUGGCGGACGGGUAAGUAAUGUCUGGGAAACUGCCCGAUGGAGGGGGAUAACUACUGGAAACGGUAGCUAAUACCGCAUACCAUCGGAUGUGCCCCGAUGGGAUUAGCUAGUAGGUGGGGGAACGGCUCACCUAGGGGACGAUCCCUAGCCUGUAUGAGAGGAUGACCAGCCAAACGGGAACUGAGACACUGUCCAGACUCCUACGGGAGGCAGCAGUGGGGAAUAUUGGACAAUGGGCGCAAGCCUGAUGCAGCCAUGCCGCGUGUAUGAAGAAGGCCUUCGGGUUGUAAAGUACUUUCAGCGAGGAGGCGUUACGCGCAGAAGAAGCACCGGCUAACUCCGUGCCAGCAGCCGAGGUAAUUC